rnacentral:rRNA from 1 species
CCCUUAGAUGUCCGGGGCCGCACGCACGCUACACUGAAGGAAUCAGCGUGGCUUUCUCCCUGACCCGAAAGGGUUGGGAAACCCGUUGAAUCUCCUUCGUGAUAGGGAUUGGGGCUUGAAAUUGUUCCCCAUGAACGAGGAAUUCCCAGUAAGCGCGAGUCAUAAGCUCGCGUUGAUUACGUCCCUGCCCUUUGUACACACCGCCCGUCGCUACUACCGAUUGAGCGGUUUAGUGAGGGCCUCGGAUUGGUCUCGGCCCGCUCUUUACCGGGCGGCGCCGUUGGUCGAGAAGACGCUCGAACUUGAUCGUUUAGAGGAAGUAAAAGUCGUAACA